rnacentral:ncRNA from 1 species
AUGUAUUCUGUUCGUUUAAGAUAAGCCGGCAAUAAAAAAGCAGUUAUAGGAUCCGCUAAGUGGGCUUUUUUGUUGUGCUUUUUUUACGAAUUAAGACAUAGAUAUGGGGGAAGUGUAGCCUUUUGGGGUUAUGUGUUUUUCCAAUGUCUUUUUAACGUUAAGGUGCAGACGAAAGUUCGCUACGCGAAUUUUUGCCUGCAUUUUUUAU